rnacentral:rRNA from 1 species
GAUGAACGCUGGCGGCGUGCCUAAUACAUGCAAGUCGAGCGAAUGGACGAGAAGCUUGCUUCUCUGAUGUUAGCGGCGGACGGGUGAGUAACACGUGGAUAACCUACCUAUAAGACUGGGAUAACUUCGGGAAACCGUAGCUAAUACCGGAUAAUAUUUUGAACCGCAUGGUUCAAAAGUGAAAGACGGUCUUGCUGUCACUUAUAGCUGGAUCCGCGCUGCAUUAGCUAGUUGGUAAGGUAACGGCUUACCAAGGCAACGAUGCAUAGCCGACCUGAGAGGGUGAUCGGCCACACUGGAACGGAGACACGGACCAGACGCCUACGGGAGGCAGCAGUAGGGAAUCUUCCGCAAUGGGCGAAAGCCUGACGGAGCAACGCCGCGUGAGUGAUGAAGGUCUUCGGAUCGUAAAACUCUGUUAUUAGGGAAGAACAUAUGUGGAAGGAACUGUGCACAUCUUGACGGUACCUAAUCAGAAAGCCACGGCUAACUACGUG